rnacentral:pre_miRNA from 1 species
UUUGUACUCCCUUCGUCCCAAAAUUCUUGUCUUAAAUUUGUCUAAAUACGGAUGUAUCUAGUUACAUUUUAGUGUUAGAUACAUCUGUAUCUAAACAAAUGUAAGACAAGAAUUUUGGGAUGGAGGGAGUACUAC